AUGGACCCCGCGUGCACUGCGGUUGUGAGCGCGCCGUCCGCGCCCACCUGACAGCUGUUCGCGAGGUGUUGCUAGCC
rnacentral:sRNA from 1 species